rnacentral:rRNA from 1 species
CCUACGGGUGGCUGCAGUGGGGAAUAUUGGACAAUGGGCGAAAGCCUGAUCCAGCCAUGCCGCGUGUGUGAAGAAGGCCUUCGGGUUGUAAAGCACUUUCAGUGGGGAAGAAAGCCUUGGGGCUAAUACCCUCGAGGAAGGACAUCACCCACAGAAGAAGCACCGGCUAACUCCGUGCCAGCAGCCGCGGUAAUACGGAGGGUGCGAGCGUUAAUCGGAAUUACUGGGCGUAAAGCGCGCGUAGGCGGUCUGAUAAGCCGGUUGUGAAAGCCCCGGGCUCAACCUGGGAACGGCAUCCGGAACUGUCAGGCUAGAGUGCAGGAGAGGAAGGUAGAAUUCCCGGUGUAGCGGUGAAAUGCGUAGAGAUCGGGAGGAAUACCAGAGGCGAAGGCGGCCUUCUGGACUGACACUGACGCUGAGGUGCGAAAGCGUGGGUAGCAAACAGGAUUAGAUACCCCAGUAGUC